rnacentral:rRNA from 1 species
CAGUCGCCGCGGGAAUACGUAGGUGGCAAGCGUUGUCCGGAUUUAUUGGGCGUAAAGCGAGCGCAGGCGGUUUCUUAAGUCUGAUGUGAAAGCCCCCGGCUCAACCGGGGAGGGUCAUUGGAAACUGGGAAACUUGAGUGCAGAAGAGGAGAGUGGAAUUCCAUGUGUAGCGGUGAAAUGCGUAGAUAUAUGGAGGAACACCAGUGGCGAAGGCGGCUCUCUGGUCUGUAACUGACGCUGAGGCUCGAAAGCGUGGGGAGCAAACAGGAUUAGAUACCCGAGUAGUCCCUGUCUCUUAUAC